CUGGCUCAGGAUGAACGCUGGCGGUCUGCUUAACACAUGCAAGUCGAACGCAACCUUCGGGUUGAGUGGCGGACGGGUGAGUAACGCGUGAGAAUCUGCCUUGGGGUCGGGGACAACCACUGGAAACGGUGGCUAAUACCGGAUAAGCCUUUGGGUAAAAAAUUUAUUGCCCCAAGAGGAGCUCGCGUCUGAUUAGCUAGUUGGUGAGGUAAAAGCUCACCAAGGCAGCGAUCAGUAGCUGGUCUGAGAGGACGAUCAGCCACACUGGGACUGAGACACGGCCCAGACUCCUACGGGAGGCAGCAGUGGGGAAUUUUCCGCAAUGGGCGAAAGCCUGACGGAGCAAGACCGCGUGAGGGAGGAAGGCUCUUGGGUUGUAAACCUCUUUUCUCAGGGAAGAAGCUCUGACGGUACCUGAGGAAUCAGCCUCGGCUAACUCCGUGCCAGCAGCCGCGGUAAUACGGAGGAGGCAAGCGUUAUCCGGAAUUAUUGGGCGUAAAGCGUCCGCAGGUGGCGAUUCAAGUCUGCUGUCAAAGCACGGGGCUUAACUCCGUUAAGGCAGUGGAAACUGAAUAGCUAGAGUGCCGUAGGGGUAGAGGGAAUUCCCGGUGUAGCGGUGAAAUGCGUAGAGAUCGGGAAGAACAUCGGUGGCGAAAGCGCUCUACUGGACGGCAACUGACACUCAGGGACGAAAGCUAGGGGAGCGAAUGGGAUUAGAUACCCCAGUAGUCCUAGCUGUAAACGAUGGAUACUAGGUGUAGCUUGUAUCGACCCGAGCUGUGCCGAAGCUAACGCGUUAAGUAUCCCGCCUGGGGAGUACGCACGCAAGUGUGAAACUCAAAGGAAUUGACGGGGGCCCGCACAAGCGGUGGAGUAUGUGGUUUACUUCGAUGCAACGCGAAGA
rnacentral:rRNA from 1 species